UAAGAAUUAGUUAAAUUUCAUAACAUAAAUAUGUCAUAUUUAAAUUAUUAUAAAAUAAUAUUCUUAU
rnacentral:tRNA from 1 species